GGGGAUGCCGGAUUUCGACAGGACUUCGACAUCGCUCUAUAUGCAAGACGAGCCAGCUUGCAAGCUCGUAAAUCUUACAAGCAACCAUAAGUGUAAACUCAUGGAACAAGGUCGUUACCGCAUUUAAAAAUGCGCAACUUGCACCUGCGUUCGCUUAACAUUUAGGCAAACGCCUGGUCCUCUGCCCCGCUCUGGGCAGAGAUCCGCCAGAUUAUUUUGAGCUAUAGUGUUGUUGUCCGAUAUAUGCAAUAACACCGAAAUUUUAUAUAUCGACCAUUAGCUUAGUUGUUCGUUGUAAGGCUAGUGGUAACUUAAACGAACUAAUCUUGUGAACAAUGGAACGGUGAAAAAGACUUGGACGCGGGUUUAACUCCCGCCAUCUCCACCA
rnacentral:tmRNA from 1 species